AAAUAGUGAUUGGUCACAGGAAGAGCAGCCUGAGAUGAGAUGAGUGGAGAGGAAGAGGAAGAGCAGAGGAGGAAGAGGAGGACGUCAGCGUGAUGAACCGCUGAAGAGCAGCAAAAAGGCUCGCGGGGGAAACAAAACAGCAACUUGGUGGACAUGUUUCAGGAAGGCUUCACUUUGACGUAGGGCCUCCAUGACAGGCGACCCCGGGGCCCACAAAGGUUGUGAUGGAUGGACGUUUCCUUGCAGCCAGAGAAACACUCGCACUGAUGAGCAGUGCGAGGAAGAAGAGCCGACGUGUCAGCAACAAUCUGCCGAGUCCUCGACUGCGCAGGAUCCUUUUUCUUUCCACGCCGAGGUUUUUUUUCUUCGCUUCGGGUCGAUCCGACAGCGGCGGCGGCGGCCUGGUUGCUCUCCAUCAGCGUGAGUCAAAUAGCAACAAUUCAUCAACGUGGAAGAAAAAAACAAAACAAAGUGAAACAUGAUGCAAAAAAUAGAGCAGAGAGUGUGUAUUCAAUUUUCUCUUUUUAAUGAAAUCUUUGGAAAGAAAAAACGUUUUUUUACUGAACUCUUACUUGAAGUGUCAAUC